rnacentral:rRNA from 1 species
AUACGUAGGGUGCGAGCGUUGUCCGGAAUUACUGGGCGUAAAGAGCUCGUAGGUGGUUUGUCGCGUCGUCUGUGAAAUUCCGGGGCUUAACUCCGGGCGUGCAGGCGAUACGGGCAUAACUUGAGUACUGUAGGGGAGACUGGAAUUCCCGGUGUAGCGGUGAAAUGCGCAGAUAUCAGGAGGAACACCGGUGGCGAAGGGGGGUCUCUGGGCAGUAACUGACGCUGAGGAGCGAAAGCAUGGGUGGCGAACAGGAUUAGAUACCCUGGUAGUCCAUGCCGUAAACGGUGGGCGCUAGGUGUAGGGGUCUUCCACGACUUCUGUGCCGUAGCUAACGCAUUAAGCGCCCCGCCUGGGGAGUACGGCCGCAAGGUUGAAACUCAAAUGAAUUGGCGGGG